UGUACCCAAGCAGUACAGUUCUAGCACUAAACAAUCAUCUGGGAACAAGUUUCAAAGCAUCAGCAGCGGAAGAGUUGCCCCAUGGCUUGAGACUGGUGAUGCAGUGGCAAGUAUGUACUCAGAAUCAAGGGGAGAGGCUCGUGAUUUUGCCAGGGUCCGGAAUACCUGCUUUGAGCAGGCUAGACAGGCUUACUUGGUUGGCAACAAGGCUCUUGCGAAGGAGCUCAGCAUGAAGGGGCAGGCCUACAAUGUGCAAAUGAAAGCGGCUCAUGAGAAAGCUAGAGAAGCUAUUUACCGACAAAGGUCUGAUAGUUGUUUUACAUGUUGA